rnacentral:misc_RNA from 1 species
CGGCGGCGGGGUAUCAGUCGGAGACUCAUCGGACGGCAAUGGCUUGAAAGACGGGGAACCGGAAUUCGACAGCAGAGGGUGCCGCAGCCCGACAAAUGUUAGCACCUGCGACAGCGAAGGCGUCCCCCGCAGGAUCUGCGAGAAUAUCUGGACAAGAAACCCUAGCCAGCUCAUCACCGCCCGCCACGCCUGCGCCAUCGCCCUG